rnacentral:rRNA from 1 species
AGUGAACGCUGGCGGUAGGCCUAACACAUGCAAGUCGAACGGCAGCACAGUAAGAGCUUGCUCUUACGGGUGGCGAGUGGCGGACGGGUGAGGAAUACAUCGGAAUCUACUUUUUCGUGGGGGAUAACGUAGGGAAACUUACGCUAAUACCGCAUACGACCUACGGGUGAAAGCAGGGGAUCUUCGGACCUUGCGCGAUUGAAUGAGCCGAGGUCGGAUUAGCUAGUUGGCGGGGUAAAGGCCCACCAAGGCGACGAUCCGUAGCUGGUCUGAGAGGAUGAUCAGCCACACUGGAAGUGAGAAACGGCCCAGACUCCUACGGGAGGCAGCAGUGGGGAAUAUUGGACAAUGGGGGCAAGCCUGAUCCAGCCAUACCGCGUGGGUGAAGAAGGCCUUCGGGUUGUAAAGCCCUUUUGUUGGGAAAGAAAAGCAGCAGGUUAAUACCCCGCUGUUCUGACGGUACCCAAAGAAUAAGCUCCGGCUAACUUCGUG